GAAGUGUUUAAACUAGUUGAGCGUUUGGGAGGUCAAGGUCUGAUUUGUAAAUGUAAUACAUGGUCUGAUCAAAACAUGAAAAUUUUUGGUAUUAAAUAAGUUCUGGCUCAGAUAGAGUGUUGAAGUGCAGCAAGAAAAGAGAUCAAAUUUGUGGAACAUCACCAGGGCUCCAUGCUGAAAAUGCCACAGGACCAAGGAUAGAGCCUUGUGGGACACCGUCUGGACCUGUCUGAGCACUGUCACGGCUGUUUGCUAGCUCCCUGCAGGCAUGUUGAUGCUUGGUGCUAGACAAGACAACGUUUUCACUGGAGGAAGA